AACUCCCACUCGCGCGCUCUUCGGUGGCUGGCCCUCUUCCUUUGCCCACACUUACAUCGCGCAUCCAUUCCAGUGCACCCUCCCGUGUCAUGUAUCGUGAGGAAGCGGACGGGUCGGCGGUGGUGUGGGGCAUUCCUGUCGCACCGUUUGUGCCGGUGCAGCACAUGCAGAUUGAUGUGUCCACCUUAAACCGUCUGGGCAACUAUUGCUUCCGUUUUGCACGGGAGCACGGGUGGCUGCAAACGCCCGACGAGAUGGCGCUCGCCACGCCGUGCGCCCAGGGCAACAAGGCACGUCCGCCGGUGGAACAGGGGAGCCAUGCCUACACAGGUUCGGACAACACGUUCUUCUUCGCCGGCGUCGAGGAGAUCCUCGAUAACCCGUACCCCGACUUCGAGUUGCCGCCAAGGCUGUCGAAGUUGUUCGCUGAGGCCCACUUCUACCUCGUCCACGUCGGCAACAGCUCCUACAGCGUGUACGGCCAACUUUACACCUACUUGGACGAGCAGGGCGAGGCAGCGCGCGGCUUCGUCGGCAGCUUCAAGGUGACAGCAGUGUGGGUGUCGAAGCAGCAGCGCACACCGACGGCGCUGCCUGCUGAUAAGCGGUCGCAGUUGCGCUCCGUCAUCGAAAAGAGUGCGCCGAAAAUGCCCUCAUCUGACGUCGCACGGGUUCAGCGACUCUCGGUGAGUGACCUCCUGCUGCAGAGCGGGUGGUUCGCGAACGCGUCCGCCAUCGCUUCCAUGGAGAUCGCCGCGUACUCUCCGCUGUCCGCUCCUCCACCGGACGCGUUUCUCGUCUCUCUGCCUCAUGUGUGCACCGCGGCACCCCUCUGGCUGCUUCAUCGGCGCCACUUCAUGCUGCGCGAGACCGAUAUCGAUUUCAACCUGCACGUGAACCAGCUCGUGACGAAGCUGCUCGUGAUCGACGCCUUCCGCGGCGCUACGGCGGAUGCGCGAUGUGCCUACUCGCGUCUCCUGCGCCCCGGCGUGCCGCCAAACCGCGCCGACAUACUGCUGCGCAAGUUCCGCAUCGACUACGUCCGCGAGAUCCCGGUGAGCUGCGUCGCCACGGAAGUAUUUCUCUUCCCUGUAGACCCGGCACGUGCCAAGGCACAGUUCUCCUGUGUUGGCACUUCUGCAGGCGGCGGGGAUGCUGCUGCUACCACAACUGCGGUGAUUCCAGGUAGUGACGCAGCCGACACGCCUGCGGUGGACAUGAUGGGCAUUGGCUUCUUCACGGUCGGAGUGCCAAGCUUGGACGAUGCUUCCUCGAAGGAUCGCUUCAUUGCCACGGUGGGUGUGAUGACUGCUGCCACCUGCUUCCUGCAUUAACUAAUACGUCUUCUUUCCGUUCUCUUACAAGACUACCCUUCCAGUACCCGUGGCUUGCUCCUCCGCUGCACCCCAUCAUACUCUACUCUCCCUUUCCCCUGCGCUUCUCCCUCUGCGCUCGAGGGUAUAUGCCGCGAGAAUUGGGUGUGUGGUGUGUGUGUGUGGGGGGGGGGGCAACGUCGGAGGACUGCAGACGAGAUGGAGGCGGACGGUGGUGGAGACUAGGAGAGAGGCAGGAAGGGGGAUGGAGAUGUGCAACGCUGAGCGCAGCACAGACCGGCACUUCCGGUGAAGCGCGUGGCGCGUAUUGCCCGUGUCCGCCUUUACGCUUUCCUCUUUAGGGACUUCGUGUCUUUUUGCGUCUGCUUGUGUACUUGCUUCCCUGGUGACAGGAGACCCCACCGCUUCGUGCGUCAUAAUCAACAGGGUCCAUUGCACCCUCCCCCCCUCUGCGCGGGAGGGAGCCGAUCAGACUCCACCCCUCCCUCCUCUAUCCCCCUGCCAAAAAUGCCGAACCGCUUCUGGUGGCGGCAGACUCAAGCGCCCACGACGUAGCGAAGCUAGAGCGAUGCAUGGCUGCUGAUGUCUGUGGACAGGUCGUGGGCGGCGCUGCGUCGGGGCGACCUGCGACCGUGAGCUCGGUUGUGCCAUCCAUGUGACGGGCGGCGUGCCAGCGUGACUCGAGCGCAUCACAGCCGACCCUCACACUGCCCACUGGCAUGUGUGCGUGUGUGUGUGGGUGUGGGUGUGUGGGGCCUGCACCACCGCGAGGGGGACGCACCAGUCGCCAACCGGCACAAUGCGGGCGGCUGCGAGGCGGGUGUGGGUAGCGUUUGGUGCGCGGGCCCUGCUCUCAGAUGAUGGUGUCGGCGCGUUGCCGUGCUGGCUUGUGUGCGCGGCUGCUUCGCACGACGGGAGGUGGGCCUGUGACGGGCCGGGGGCAGAGCGGAGCUAAGUGGAUGUUGCGUGGCAGAGAACAGGCGGCGUGAGAAAUUUUGUUGUAUUGGAUGACUCUGUUGCCCAUGCGAGUAUGUCGAGAGAGCGAUCGCUGUGUGAUGCCGAUGGGGCAACGGCAUCCUCACUCCCCCUCCGUUGGCAUCUCACGGUAUUCGGGCUCUGCAUCUAUCCGGCGCUGUGGCACCUUCAGUGAGUGACGUCGUUUUCUCCUCUGACAUGUGCGUGCGGCUGCGGUGCGCUCGCUCUGUGUGUGUGCGUCAGGUGAUGUGCAUCGCCUCCACUGCUCAGCUUUCUCCUCUUCACUGUCCUCCUCCACCACCGUUCCUCUAUCUCUCCCAAACGUGCCGCUCUUGUCUGUUCCACUGCGACACAG
rnacentral:misc_RNA from 1 species